rnacentral:ncRNA from 1 species
UUCUUCGGGGCAGGGUGCAAUUCCCAACCGGCGGUAUAGUCCGCGACCUGUUAUCUUCGGAUAAUGGCUGAUUUGGUGCAAUUCCAAAACCGACAGUAAAGUCUGGAUGAGAGAAGAA